rnacentral:rRNA from 1 species
UACACUCCUACGGGAGGCAGCAGUGGGGAAUUUUGGACAAUGGGCGAAAGCCUGAUCCAGCCAUGCCGCGUGCAGGAUGAAGGCCUUCGGGUUGUAAACUGCUUUUGUACGGAACGAAACGGCCUUUUCUAAUAAAGAGGGCUAAUGACGGUACCGUAAGAAUAAGCACCGGCUAACUACGUGCCAGCAGCCGCGGUAAUACGUAGGGUGCAAGCGUUAAUCGGAAUUACUGGGCGUAAAGCGUGCGCAGGCGGUUAUGUAAGACAGUUGUGAAAUCCCCGGGCUCAACCUGGGAACUGCAUCUGUGACUGCAUAGCUAGAGUACGGUAGAGGGGGAUGGAAUUCCGCGUGUAGCAGUGAAAUGCGUAGAUAUGCGGAGGAACACCGAUGGCGAAGGCAAUCCCCUGGACCUGUACUGACGCUCAUGCACGAAAGCGUGGGGAGCAAACAGGAUUAGAAACCCCAGUAGUCCCAU